UGAUGGGAGAAUUAAUGCUAAUGGUGGAUGCCUAGGUAGUUUAAGCCGAAGAAGGACGCGUGUUUGAGCGCGAAAACAACGGUUAGUCCUCUAACAGACAUUACCAACCGUUGGUUUCCGAAUGGGGCAACCCCGCCCUGCGCAAGCAGGGUGAACCUGUAUUACACGAGGAAAUUAUAAUAAUCAAAUACUACAAAUUGCUCAAAUAAGCAAAUAAAUCAAUAAAUGAAAAAAUGAUUUAAUAAUUUAAUUCCUUAAAAUAUUCAAACAUUUAUUUGUAAUAUUUAUCGGAUUUGUUUAUUUGUAGUAUUAAUUUGAUUUUCUAGUGUAGUACAGGUGGGGAACCUGGUGAACUGAAACAUCUAAGUAGCCAGAGGAAAAUAAAACAUAUGUGAUUUCGUUAGUAGCGGCGAGCGAAAGCGAAACAGUCUAAACCUCUUGUGCGUGGCACUAGAGUUAUUUAGUAAAUUUAGUGAUGAGUGACUUAGCGAAAAACUAAGCAACUAAUUAACUUAAAACUAAUAACUCUCGUGCUGCGUAUGAGAGGUGUUGCAGGGCAGAUAAUAUGGGAUUGGUUGCGGAUAGGAGAAUGAUCUGGAAAGAUCAAUCAUAGAAAGUGAUAAUCUUGUAUCCUAAAUCUAAAACCACCUUAUUCUGUUCCUAAGUACCACGAGUCACGGCAAACCUUGUGGGAAUCCGGGUCGGUCACGAUCCAAGACUAAACACUUAAACUGACCGAUAGUGAACUAGUACCGUGAGGGAAAGGUGAAAAGUCCCCCGAGAGGGGAGUGAAAUAGAACCUGAAACCAUUAGCUAACAAACAGGCAGAACAUCUCGUUUCCACUCAAUGCUCUUAAGAUAAAAAGUAAAAUCUAAAAAGUAAAAAAUAUUUAAAAAACUUUUUAUAUAUUAUUUUUAAAAUUUUAAAUUGGAGCACCGAGUGGAGACGAGGUGCGAUGCCGUGCCUAUUGAAGAAUGAGCCAGCGAGUUCCCGCUUAGUGUUUUGCUUAACCCCGAAUUAUUCGUGGGAAGGCAGAGGGAAACCAAGUCCUAAUAGGGCGAUUUUAUACUUAGCGGGAGACCCGAAACUGGAUGAGCUAACCAUGAGCAGGGUGAACUCCGAUCACAAUCGGAGGAAGGCCCGUACCCGUUGUUGGUGAAAUAACAUGGGACGACUUGUGGUUAGAGGUUAUAUGCCUAUCGAAUCCAGAGAUAGCUGGUUCUCCCCGAAAUAUAUUUAGGUAUAGCCUUCCGGUAAUUUUUUGCGGGAUAGAGCUACUAGAUGUCCCACCAAGCGAAAGCAAGGCGGGACAACUAAACUCCGAAUACGCAAAUAUUUUACGGAGGAGUCAGUCUCGCCGGGAUAAGCCGGUGCAGGCGAAAGGGAAACAUCCCAGAUUCCCGUUUAAGGUUCUCAAAUGUUUUUUAAGUGGAAAAGGCCGUUGAAUUUCCAACACAGUAGGGAGGUUGGCUCAGAAGCAGCCAUCCUUUAAAGAGUGCGUAACAGCUCACCUAAAUAACCCUCCGAUUCGGAGGGGAAAUUCUGCGCUUAAAAUGAUCGGAGCUAAAAAAACUACCGAAAACGGAGACUUGUGCGUAGCACAAGGCAGUUCUUAAAGUUCGUAAAGUAAAAAGUUCGUAAAGUUAAAUUGUGAAAACCAAUUUUCUUUAUAAACUUUAAAAACUUUAUAACUUUAUAACUUCCUCGCGCUGCGCACGAGUGGUAGGGGAGCGUCCGCCGCGCAGUGAAGCAAAAUUGUAAGAUUUUGUGGAGCGCUGGCGGAGCGAGAAUGCUGGCAUAAGUAGUGUAUCUCUCGAUGAAAACUCGAGAUGCCGAAAAUCCAAGGUUUCCUCAGCAAUGUCAAUCAUCUGAGGGUUAGUCGGAUCUAACUCCUCACCAGUUUUGGUGAGGGGGAUGUAUAAGCAGUUAAAAUUCUGCUACUUAUAUUCAUUCGUUAUUACUUACACGCUAACGAAAUUUGAUAUUCUGCCCCUUCUAUUUGAAGGGUCAAGUUAUAAACUGUCUCGCAAGAUUCAGCGAGUAACAAAUACAACUCUGAUGUAAUGUCGGGGGAGGCGGAAGACUUAAGUUCCCAAGAAAAAGCGUGUCAGGAGAAUGUGUAUAAUCCGUACCGAUAACCGACACUGGUGGAUUGGUAGAGUAUACCCAGGCAUACGGACAAUAAUGAUUCAAGGAACUCGGCAAAAAAGCUGGACGUAACUUAUUGGAUAUGUCCUCCCCGAUUUAAUCGGGGUACAACAAAUGAUUGUCAACCGACUGUUUAGCAAAAACACAGGCUCCUGCUAACCUGAAUAAGGGAUGUAUAGGAGCUGAAACCUGUCCGGUACUGGUAAGUCAAUCGCUGCGGCUAACUCUAAGCAAUUAGUGAAGGCUGCGGUGCAAGCUCCAGUGAACGACAGCUCUAACCCUGAGAGUUCUAAGGUAGCGUAACCCCUUGCCGGGUAAGUUCCGGCCCGCA
rfam:Candidatus Roizmanbacteria bacterium RIFCSPLOWO2_01_FTLL_37_12 rifcsplowo2_01_scaffold_7811, whole genome shotgun sequence.